rnacentral:ncRNA from 1 species
UUAAAAGCAAAGAAAAGGACACGAGUUAUUUUCAACGGUUAUACAGAGAGGGAAGGAAUGCUGAGAACUUCCUAACGCAGUGAAAUAACUUACCACCUUAGAGCUGCACUAGGGAAAAUAAAAGUAUCUAGUGCCGUGUAAGCGACGUUACCGCAAAAGAAGCCAUUGUAUGUUGUGUAAUACGAUGGGAAUCUGGGUGGAACCACGAAUAUAAGCAUAUUCGUCCCUAUU